GAGAGACUUGAUAGGAUGCGUCUCCAUUUCCGUAUAAUUUAUCUUAGCAGGAUGCGCAGACCAUAUGCAAGCCCGCGUUCCGGUCAACAGGCCGCUGAACACGGGGAGAUAAGACCCACAUUACAAUAUAUCCGUUAUAGACUGGAUGGUUGCCAAUGCUGCUGUUCCCCGUAACAUUCUUAUGUAGCCACGAGUGACGAAUAAUUCACCCUAUCCUGUUGUAGUCAGAUCUACAAUUCUACCGCUUCAGGAUUCAGAGAGCCCUAUCAUUGGUGCAACUCCCGAUGUUCAGACCGAGCCAAUGACUCGGCUCCCAGAUGCACCACCACAGUGACAAUGAGGGGAAGAGAGGCAGAGACCAUGGCAGAAAAACAAAGUCAUAGACAGAGCAAUAAUUCUCAGCCGAGCCAAAAUUGUAGAACUGUAAAUUGCAUAGUUUUACCACGACUAAAAUAAAACUGG